CUCCUCUCAGGUUCACACCUGGAGAGUUUCUAAUACUCUACCAGUCUCGACUACAAGAGGGGGAGUCAAGCAGAGCCAUGCCCAUUCCAUUCCUAGUUUGGCCAGUGGCUAGCAAGUGGAAGGCAAUCUGCUAUAAGU